GCUUGGCUGGCUCAGUUGGUUAGAGCGCCGGUCUCAUAUAUAUGAGCAAGCAUAGCUUGUGCAAUCCGGAGAUCACCAGUUCGAUCCUGGUGCCGAGCA
rnacentral:tRNA from 1 species